rnacentral:sRNA from 1 species
GCCUGACUCAAGCAGAGCCCAGCCUUGGGCAGGCGGGUGGAGGGUAUGUGUUUCCAUAGGUGGGGAGAGUGGCGCUGGGGGUGGGCCAGGAGCCAGAGGUCACUGGUGACUUGACCAAGGGCAGUGGACAUCUGGGCCUCACGUGGCUUACUUUCCUCAGUGAAACAGCUCUGAGCCUGCAGAGAGCCAGCUCCCUGGGGCAUGGGGGGGCACCCUGGGUCAGGCUGGCGGUGGAGUCUGCCUUCCGCCUCCCUCCCCUCACAGCCCAUCGCCCUUGCCCCUCUAUUGCAGUGGUCUGGGCUACGUGCUGGGGUCGGCUGUGACGAUGCUGACUGGGAACUGGCGCUGGGCCCUCCGAAUCAUGCCCUGCCUGGAGGCCAUGGCCUUGAUCCUGCUUAUCCUGCUGGUUCCAGACCCACCCCGCGGAGCUGCCGAGGCACAGGGGGAGGGGGCCACGGGAGGCUCCAGGAGCAGCUGGUGUGAGGACAUCAGAUA